rnacentral:tRNA from 1 species
GUAAUCAGUAGGUUGGGGGUUCAAGUCCUCUGGCCGGCACCACUUAAUAUUUAGUGGAGGGAUA